UCCGGACAGUUUUGUCACUCAUAGAACCACCGCAGUCACGUGGGUUGUGUGCGCGCGCGCGAGCCAGCUGUCAGUCAUGCCUGUCUAAGAGGGCUAAAUGAAUGAUGAAUGAAAUGGACCUCGCUGACGUGCACGUGACUCUCAAAAUUCAAACGGUUUCCAACAUUUCGGCCUGAUCAAGUCUGACAUGUGCACGCAGGAGGAGCGCACAACCAGAGCUGGUGGUCCAAAACAGGUAUCAGCCCAUCAAUCCUCCCUGUGAUUAUUUCCAGGAUAAAAGGAAUAAAUUCCAGACUGGCUUCUUAAAUGGAAUAAAUGUGAUCUAAUCCAAAGAGCCAUAAAUACCAUCUCUACAGCGCAGGAAACACCUGGAUGUUCAAACAGAAAGUUACCUGGAAGAACUGAGUGACAUUCCUGAAGUUCAGGCCGUGUCACACUCCCACUACAUACAACUUGCGCAUUGUCCCCGGAUGAAAACUGGUCAUAAUGGUCAAACCAAUGGAAGGACCAGCAGAGGGCGCUGACCAUGGUGCUGAUGUGAUCUCUGCUCAGUGCUCUGAAUGUCAAAUUAAAGAAAUUCAAUGAAGCAGA